rnacentral:rRNA from 1 species
UCUAGAAGCUUCGGCAAUGGGGGAAACCCUGACCGAGCGACGCCGCGUGCAGGACGAAGGUCUUCGGAUCGUAAACUGCUUUCGCUGGGGGAGAAAUGCCUCGGGGUGAAUAAUUCCGGGGUUAGACGGUACCCAGUAAAGAAGCUCCGGCUAAGUCCGUGCCAGCAGCCGCGGUAAUACGGGCGGAGCGAGCGUUGUUCGGAUUCAUUGGGUGUAAAGGGUGCGAAGGCGGUCGUCUAAGUCGAAGGUGAAAUGUCUACGGCUCAACCGAGGCAUUGCCUCCGAUACUGGACGACUUGAGUGCGGAAGGGGAGCGUGGAAUUCCUGGUGUAGCGGUGAAAUGCGUAGAUAUCAGGAGGAACACCGGUGGCGAAGGCGACGCUCUGGUCCGCAACUGACGCUCAUGCACGAAAGCCAGGGGAGCGAACGG